ACACAUGCAAGUCGAGGGGCAGCAUGGUCUUAGCUUGCUAAGGCCGAUGGCGACCGGCGCACGGGUGAGUAACGCGUAUCCAACCUGCCUUACACUCUUGGACAGCCUUCUGAAAGGGAGAUUAAUACAAGAUGUUAUCAUGAGUAAGCAUUUUCGCAUGAUUAAAGGUUUACCGGUGUAAGAUGGGGAUGCGUUCCAUUAGAUAGUAGGCGGGGUAACGGCCCACCUAGUCUUCGAUGGAUAGGGGUUCUGAGAGGAAGGUCCCCCACAUUGGAACUGAGACACGGUCCAAACUCCUACGGGAGGCAGCAGUGAGGAAUAUUGGUCAAUGGACGAGAGUCUGAACCAGCCAAGUAGCGUGAAGGAUAAAGGUUCUAUGGAUUGUAAACUUCUUUUAUACGGGAAUAAACGGAUCCACGUGUGGAUUUUUGCAUGUACCGUAUGAAUAAGGAUCGGCUAACUCCGUGCCAGCAGCCGCGGUAAUACGGAGGAUCCGAGCGUUAUCCGGAUUUAUUGGGUUUAAAGGGAGCGUAGAUGGGUUGUUAAGUCAGUUGUGAAAGUUUGCGGCUCAACCGUAAAAUUGCAAUUGAUACUGGCAGUCUUGAGUACAGUUGAGGUAGGCGGAAUUCGUGGUGUAGCGGUGAAAUGCUUAGAUAUCACGAAGAACUCCGAUUGCGAAGGCAGCUUACUAACCUGUAACUGACAUUGAUGCUCGAAAGUGUGGGUAUCAAACAGGAUUAGAUACCCUGGUAGUCCACACGGUAAACGAUGAAUACUCGCUGUAGGCGAUAUACAGUCUGCGGCCAAGCGAAAGCAUUAAGUAUUCCACCUGGGGAGUACGCCGGCAACGGUGAAACUCAAAGGAAUUGACGGGGG
rnacentral:rRNA from 1 species